CACCUUGCGUGUAACCAAAGAACGGGGGAAACCAAGAGCAUCCGUGAGAGCAAAAGUCGUCAUCUACUUCCAGAGCCUCACAGCGCAGAAUGUUCGCCAGGUGGCGCAAUACAGUGGAAAGGGGAAAAGGCGUUGCUUUUCACUGCUUCGUCC